GGGUUGCGGACAGUGUCUGGUGGGUAGUUUGACUGGGGCGGUCUCCUCCUAAAGAGUAACGGAGGAGCACGAAGGUUGGCUAAUCCUGGUCGGACAUCAGGAGGUUAGUGCAAUGGCAUAAGCCAGCUUGACUGCGAGCGUGACGGCGCGAGCAGGUGCGAAAGCAGGUCAUAGUGAUCCGGUGGUUCUGAAUGGAAGGGCCAUCGCUCAACGGAUAAAAGGUACUCCGGGGAUAACAGGCUGAUACCGCCCAAGAGUUCAUAUCGACGGCGGUGUUUGGCACCUCGAUGUCGGCUCAUCACAUCCUGGGGCUGAAGUAGGUCCCAAGGGUAUGGCUGUUCGCCAUUUAAAGUGGUACGCGAGCUGGGUUUAGAACGUCGUGAGACAGUUCGGUCCCUAUCUGCCGUGGGCGCUGGAGAACUGAGGGGGGCUGCUCCUAGUACGAGAGGACCGGAGUGGACGCAUCACUGGUGUUCGGGUUGUCAUGCCAAUGGCACUGCCCGGUAGCUAAAUGCGGAAGAGAUAAGUGCUGAAAGCAUCUAAGCACGAAACUUGCCCCGAGAUGAGUUCUCCCUGACUCCCUGAGAGUCCUGAAGGAACGUUGAAGACGACGACGUUGAUAGGCCGGGUGUGUAAGCGCAGCGAUGCGUUGAGCUAACCGGUACUAAUGAACCGUGAG
rnacentral:rRNA from 1 species